AGCCCCCAAAUCCUCACCAAAUUGUGCAUGGAGUAACUUCUCCCUCUCUGCCGACGCCAGCCUUCCCACGUGUGUGAGACCAUUGCUGUGGAAAGAAGCCGGGCCUGACUUCAGGGAUCUGGUGUGAAAUGACUGGACCCAUGCGUUCUGAGUAAACAAGAGAGCCCCUUCUGGCUUCUCCGGGAGGAACCAAAUGGCUUCAGCAUUCAGCUCCAGAGCCCGAUGGAGACCAAGAGUGAUACACUGUACUCAUGGUAGGUGUUCAAUGUGCCCCCUUUUUGCCUGCUCACCCUCACCACACCCUAGACAAGCUUAGGACUGGUUAGGAAUCCCCAGCCCUGCGUGAGGGAGGGGGCAGAACUCUAUCACCCCACCGCUUCCCCUCUCUAUCAGCCCCCCACCGGCCUUGCUGUCUCUCUGCCAGGCCAAAGGCAAGGGAACACACCGCCUUCACCAGCCCCACCUCCUAGGCCCCAAGAGCCCUGCCCCCUCCCUGCCAUGGCAUCUUGAACAGAGCUGAGUCUAUGGCUCUUGGUGGGGGGUGGCUGUGGGAUGGGGGGGCCGCCGAGAGAGGAGGGUUACAAAAGCUGUGCCUUGCUUUCCCAGUGGCCUCCCAGGGGCCAAUGAAUGCACAGAGCCGCAGCCUGGGGGCAGCCAGCGUGUUUUCAUUUUGCUCUGUUUGUUUUCUGUUUAGAUCAACUGCUCAGUUCUGGUUUGGGCCUCUGAGGGCUGAUGGGGUUUGGCAGUUCUGCCUCCACACAGCUGCCAAGGCCACCAUAAUUCUGGGACCUAGGAGUAAUUUCAACGGUUUGGCUGUUACAUAUACAGCUGUUAUAAACAUCUGUGUGCGUGUCUUUCCAAAUGGAAUUGCUGGUUCAUGGGUAAGCAUACAUUCAACUUUCACAGAUAUUGCCUCAUAGUUUGCCAAAGGGUUGUACCAAUUUACACUCCUGCCAGCAGUGCAUGAGAGUUUUGGUGACUCUCAUCUUCACCAAUAUUUGGGCAUUUGUAUUUUCUUUCAUUUUAUUCAUUCUAGUGUGUUGAUGAUGUCAUCUCAUUACGGUUUUAAUUUACAUUUUCUUUUUGACUAAGUGGAGCACCUCUUCAUAUAUUUAUUGUCUAUCUUGAUAUUCUAUUUUUGUGAAGUGCCUGUCA
rnacentral:lncRNA from 1 species